UCCGGCUUAACACCGGCAGUCUCCUUAGAGUUCCCGGCAUAACCCGCUGGUAACUAAGGACAAGGGUUUCGCUCGUUAAGGGACUUAACCCGACAUCUCACAACACGAGCUGACGACAGCCAUGCAGCACCUGUGUACGUUCCGCUCUUGCGAGUGUCACUGACGUUUCCGCCAGCUAAUCCGUACAUGUCAAGCCUAGGAUAAGGUUCUUCGCGUAGCCUCGAAUUAAGCCACAUGCUCCACCGCUGGUGUGAGCCCCCGUCAAUUCCUUUGAGUUUCAGCCUUGCGACCAUACUCCCCAGGCGGGGUACUAAACACUUUCGCUUCGGCAGAAGGUGCCAUCGGAACACUUUCUACCCAGUACCCAUCGUUUACGGCUAGGACUA
rnacentral:misc_RNA from 1 species